rnacentral:tRNA from 2 species
GCCCCCGUAGCUCAGGUGGAUAGAGCACGAGAUUCCUAAUCUCGGUGCCGGGUGUUCGAAUCACCCCGGGGGCA